ensembl:snoRNA SNORD58 Small nucleolar RNA SNORD58
UUGCAAUGAUGACAAUCUUAGGACACCUUUGGAAUUAAUCAUGAAAACAAAACUGUACCUAUCUGAGCAAC